rfam:Peptococcaceae bacterium CEB3 CEB3_contig000039, whole genome shotgun sequence.
UUGUAGGACCCUCUGUUAAGCCAAAGUCUCUAAUUGAACAGGACUGGAAAGUCCGGGCAAAGAAGGUAACACCCCUGUAAGUGAAAGGGGCGAAGGCUGUGAGGGUAUCCUGAGUACCGCGGGACACGAGGAACCCCGUGGGAAGCUGGGAGGACCACCUCCCAAGGCUAAAUACUCCUUAGCGACCGAUAGCGAACGAGUACCGUGAGGGAAAGGUGAAAAGCACCCCGGGAGGGGAGUGAAAAAGAACCUGAAACCGUACGCUUACAAGCAGUCAAAGCACCGUCAGGUGUGAUGGCGUGCCUUUUGUAGAAUGAACCGGCGAGUUACGGUAUGGAGCGAGGUUAAGGCGAAGAGCCGGAGCCGGAGCGAAAGCGAGUCUGAAGAGGGCGAGAAGUUCCAUGCUGUAGACCCGAAACCGUGUGAUCUACCCAUGGACAGGGUGAAGGUGGGGUAAAACCCACUGAAGGCCCGAACUCACUGUCGUUGAAAAGGCAGGGGAUGAUCUGUGGGUAGGGGUGAAAUGCCAAUCGAACACGGAGAUAGCUGGUUCUCCCCGAAAUAGCUUUAGGGCUAGCCUCAAUCGAUGACUGACGGCGGUAGAGCACUGAAUAGGCUAGGGGCCUUACCCGGUUACCGAACCUUAUCAAACUCCGAAUGCCGUUAGGUUUAGAUUGGGAGUCAGACUGUGGGGGAUAAGCUUCAUAGUCGAGAGGGAAACAGCCCAGACCAUCAGCUAAGGUCCCUAAGUAUACGCUUAGUGGAAAAGGAUGUGGAAUUGCUCAGACAACCAGGAUGUUGGCUCAGAAGCAGCCACCAUUUAAAGAGUGCGUAAUAGCUCACUGGUCGAGUGGUUCUGCGCCGAAAAUGUAACGGGGCUCAAGCGUAUCACCGAAGCUAUGGAAUUUGGAAGUCAGAAGUGAGAGGUCUGAAGUCAGAGAGGAAAUUUCAGUGGUUCAUCUGACGUCUGACAUCCGACUUCUGACUUCCGAAUUGGUAGGGGAGCAUUCCAAGGUCAGCGAAGUUCUUCCGGAAGGAAGGGUGGAGAGCUUGGAAGAGAGAAUGCCGGUAUGAGUAUGCGAAAAGGAGGGUGAGAAUCCCUCCCGCCGAAAAUCCAAGGAUUCCUGGGGAAGGCUCGUCCGCCCAGGGUAAGUCGGGACCUAAGCCGAGGCUGAAAAGCGUAGGUGAUGGACAACUGGUUGAGAGUCCAGUACCACCGGUAAGCGAUUGAGCGAUGGGGUGACACAGAAGGACAGGUCCAGCGUGCCGUUGGUUGAGCACGUCCAAGCCUCGAGGAAGUAGGGUAGGCAAAUCCGCCCUGCGAGAUUCUGAGGGGUGAUGGGGAGCGAAAACAAGUAGCGAAGGGACUGGGUUCAAGCUGUCAAGAAAAGCCUCUAGUGAGCGAAUCGGUGCCCGUACCGUAAACCGACACAGGUGGAUAAGGAGAGAAUCCUAAGGCGCGCGAGAAAACCCUCGUUAAGGAACUCGGCAAAAUGACCCCGUAACUUCGGGAGAAGGGGUACUCCUAGCGAUAGGAGUCGCAGAGAAUUGGUCCAGGCGACUGUUUAACAAAAACACAGGUCCCUGCAAAUCCGUAAGGAGAAGUAUAGGGGCUGACGCCUGCCCGGUGCUGGAAGGUUAAGAGGAGAGGUUAGGCGCAAGCCGAAGCUUUGAAUUGAAGCCCCAGUAAACGGCGGCCGUAACUAUAACGGUCCUAAGGUAGCGAAAUUCCUUGUCAGGUAAGUUCUGACCCGCACGAAAGGCGUAACGAUCUGGACACUGUCUCAACGAGGGACUCGGCGAAAUUGUAAUACCCGUGAAGAUGCGGGUUACCUGCGACAGGACAGAAAGACCCCAUGGAGCUUUACUGUAGCUUGACAUUGGAUUUUGGUAGAGAAUGUACAGGAUAGGUGGGAGACUAAGAAGCUAGGGCGCCAGCCUUGGUGGAGUCGCCGGUGGGAUACCACUCUUUUUGUACUGAAAUUCUAACUUAGUCCCCUGAAACGGGGAUGAGGACCGUGUCAGGUGGGCAGUUUGACUGGGGCGGUCGCCUCCCAAAGAGUAACGGAGGCGCCCAAAGGUUCCCUCAGCGCGGAUGGAAAUCGCGCGAAGAGUGUAAAGGCAGAAGGGAGCUUGACUGCGACACCCACAAGUGGAGCAGGGACGAAAGUCGGGCUUAGUGAUCCGGUGGUACCGAGUGGAAGGGCCAUCGCUCAACGGAUAAAAGCUACCCUGGGGAUAACAGGCUUAUCUCCCCCAAGAGUCCAUAUCGACGGGGAGGUUUGGCACCUCGAUGUCGGCUCAUCGCAUCCUGGGGCUGUAGUAGGUCCCAAGGGUUGGGCUGUUCGCCCAUUAAAGCGGUACGUGAGCUGGGUUCAGAACGUCGUGAGACAGUUCGGUCCCUAUCCGUCGCAGGCGCAGGAAAUUUGAGAGGAUCUGUCCCUAGUACGAGAGGACCGGGAUGGACGGAUCCCUGGUGUACCAGUUGUCUCGCCAGAGGCACCGCUGGGUAGCUAUAUCCGGAGCGGAUAAGCGCUGAAAGCAUCUAAGCGCGAAACCGACCUCAAGAUGAGAUUUCCCACGAGCGCAAGCUCGGUAAGACCCCUGAAAGAUGAACAGGUUGAUAGGCCCGGUGUGGAAGCGCCGUGAGGUGUGAAGCUGACGGGUACUAAUCGGUCGAGGGCUUGACCAA